rnacentral:rRNA from 1 species
UACGUAGGGACCAAGCGUUGUUCGGAUUUACUGGGCGUAAAGGGCGCGUAGGCGGCAAUUCAAGUCACUUGUGAAAUCUCUGAGCUUAACUCAGAACGGUCAAGUGAUACUGCUUUGCUAGAGUGCAGAAGGGGCAACCGGAAUUCUUGGUGUAGCGGUGAAAUGCGUAGAUAUCAAGAGGAACACCGGAGGUGAAGACGGGUUGCGUGGGCUGACACGUGACGCUGAGGCGCGAAAGCUAGGGUAGCAAACGGG